rnacentral:misc_RNA from 1 species
AAGUCGUAACAAGGUUUCCGUAGGUGAACCUGCGGAAGGAUCAUUAACACUUAUUAUUAUCCAAUAUCAACAAAUAAAACCAAACGGUCACUUAUCUCCUCCCUAUUUCGAUCACCGGAGACGGUUCGAUUAGGCUAACAUUUUUUUUAACAUUUUUAACCCCAUUCAAUGCUAUAUUAUAGCGCAAGCUAUUAAUAUAACAACCAACUCUUCGAUUUGUGCAAAACUCUUCUGUUUUGAACAAAACGAACUAAACUAAAAUAUACAUUCGAUAUAUUUUUAUUUUACGAAAUAAUAUAUAUUUAUAAGAACAACUCUUAGCAAUGGAUAUCUUGGUUCUC